CAUCAAUGUGUGGAUCUGAGUUUGCCGUAAAGUUUGGGCUGUUGCGUCAACACAGGCCAGUAAGUUGUUCUCUAGCGUGCAAUACAGCUUCGCUCCAUAUUUAGCAGCUACUUUUUGAUUCGCCGGCAGCGGAUCAAGGAAACCAGUGAUUUCAUGCUCUCCCCAUCAUGGAUCCGCUUUUCUGUGCUCCUAUUGUACCCAGCAAUGGCCGAAAUGGCGUAAGCGUGUUGUCAGUUUGGUACGGUCAACGAAGGAUCGUCGUUACAUCCGAUUGCUUGAAGAAACGUCAGAUGACGCAGGUCGACUGUUUGCAACAGUGCUUGAGGGCACAUUUGUUCCUCGUCGAUCCUAAUGCAACACCACUGCGUUUCUAUGUGUAUGUGAAUCGUUACUCAGAACACGAGUGAGUCCCAAAUGUAGUGGCAUCUGGAUAUACUGGUUGAUGUAGCCGCCUCUCUCCAACCCCCCUGGUUCAACACCUGCCAUCGCUCUCCUGGUGUAGCUUGUUUGAGGCGAACAAGUUCUCAUCCAGAAGGACAGGACAGCUGGUGCGACUAUAGGGGAUGAAAGCUCAGGUGCUUCUGACCACUCCAGGAGUUGUUGACUGAUAAGAGGCCACGAAAGUACUCGUCUAAGUUCCUUGAAAUGUACUGGUGGCCACAAAUGUACACUUUUUCCGGCUCUUCUUGGUUGUUUGAGUGGCACUGUCCUUCUUUCACUUUCUCUACUUUUAUCAAAGAGUAAGUAUCCUGGGCGUGCAGCUACUUCAGGACUACCAGGGGGCAGUGACUUUGACGUUCUCCCUUCGCUGGGUGGGAGACAGAUGCAAUUAAGUUCGCGUAUCGUCAUAGCAUUCGCAGCGUGAUUUGCGCUGUCGUUGGAAAAGACACUUAUUCCUUUGUUGUGAGGUUAUCUUCCGGCACAGCAUCAAGUGAGUCUUGAGUAUCAGAUUAUUGGAUGGGUGGUUUGCCGUGCCAAGGGGAGGGCGACCGCAGCAGCUGUUGGAGACGCUCUUCCCUGAAAAAUUUUCAGUUCCUCCUUUCUUUCUGUUUUGAACAAAGAGUAAGUCAUCUUAUGUGCAGCCUCACAUCCUUUCAAAGUGCAACACCGUUGUGGUUCAGCGGUUUAGAUCCGAGCCGAUAGCUGGAAGCUCAUAAAACGCUUUUGGCCACUACAAGGAUUUGACUGGGUGUUUAUCAGGGUAACAGAUGCAUCAACACAUGUCUAGAGUCCUCGUGAAGUCUCGUUUUUCCCCUCUCUGGUGCUGCACUAACUACGUUACUUGUAAGAAUAACAAAAGACCGGCUUCACUGUUUUGCCGUACGGUAUUUCCUACAGAAUCCAGUAGAAAAUUCUCUGUAGAUCACUUCUAGAGGACGUCAGUAGGUUGCGUAACCAUAACGGGAUGUAUUUUUGCAGUCGCCAUCCACAAUGAAUACAGUAGGGCACAACCUCUGCUGAGGUCCGUGCGCCAGUCGUGUACCCCGGUACUAUCACCCUUCCCCAAAUUUACAAAGAAUGCAUGGAUUUGCUUCUUUGUGUAUCUUCUCCUCAAAGGGUAAGUCCUUUUAGCUCGUUUCUGUCGAAGCAAAGAGGAAAGAACUGCGAUACGUCAGCGGUGCUGCAGCAGUCAGACACGUGUAUAUUCCGCUUGGAGCUAAGGAGGAGCCAGAAGUAUAGCCGUCAAGACAAUAGCUAGGGGUUUUGAUACUCUGCCACAGUUUCAAGCGGAGAGAAACUUGAGAAUAUCGAUUCUCCGCACCCCUGCCGGAUGUGUAUGAGUUUGUGGAGAGGUACUGAGUAUCACUGAUGGUCACAUUUUCUCUUCUUCUUAGACUGCCGCAAGUGAAUGAAAUCUCGUCCAGAAACGCUGUACAGCGAGUGAAAGGUGAUCGGGCUGGUAACCGACGCAUCAACGCAUGCCUCCAGUCUUGGCGAAGGCUCCCUGUUUCUUUCUCUUUCGCCCUCUCUUUGCAUUUUCGCCUUCCGCCCCCCACCACUCAAUACUCGUUUCGUUGUUUAUAAUGUUUGUGAACUUCGUGGUCGAACACUCUGUUUUCUUGAAUUUUUACAGAAAUAUGCGAAGGAGUCGCCUUACCUGUUUCGGUUCAGCUUAGUAAGUUUGAUUAUUGCUACCUUCAAGCAUACGAACCCCGGUUCGAAUGCUUGACCUCUCCUUGGAAUCUCCAUGGAGCCAGUUCUGGAAAUACAUAUCCGAUUUUAAGCUGCCAUCCCGCCGAGCCAAUUGAUAGUAUGCCGUAUUACUUCGGAACCCCAACAGCUGGCUGGUUCUAAUCGUGCGGUUUUGUCCAUGUUCACUUCUUCACGCAUUCAGUGUAAGUCGAGAUUAUGGUUGAAUAUUGCGGUUCGCUUAAGCACUGUUGACUCAACAGCACAGUUCGCGUCGAAAUCGGGUUGCGUGUUCGAUCGCAAGUGAUUCUUGUAACAAGCCUCGAACAUAUACGUCACACUUUCUACUUUAGGUGUGACGUUUUUUUCAAAACGCGUUCCGCAUGUUUCGUCAUCUUACCGGUUACCGAUACUGUCUUACUUUUUGGACCCUCAGGCCCGUAAGCAGUAUGACCGUUCCAAGAGUCUUUGCUCGUUUCCAAAAUUACCGAGACAUCGGCCAUUAAGGAACUUUCUGUGGCAUGAAUGAAGGACUCUCCGUUGGCAUGCAGGCGGUGUGCUAUUCGUUCGGUAUGUGGGAAUUCGGCUCUCCAGAAGAUACAACGUAGUUUGGACGUAAGCGCUCCGUGGCAAUUGAAUCUCAGGGAUGGAAAGACGUGUGAGGCAGUGGCACGAAACCACCGACUCACUGUGAGUGGCUGUCCCAGUCUUUGACGCACCUGGUGUUGGAGGUUGUCGGUUCAUCGUAUUUGAUUGCUGUAUCUCUCUGUCUCUCUUUUGUAACAGUUGGAGGUAUGUUGUUGCUCAUUCUUUUUGGGAUGGAGUUCAGAGGGAUAGCCGAGACACGACAAACAAAGUUCGUCCAAAGCAAGAGAAAGCUUCGUCAGAUGGCAGAGAGAUUCGCUUCCAUCUUCGGGCAUAUCAGGAGGGAUUGGGGCCCCUGGACCGUCGUUCCUUCAUCAAUGAAGAUGAAACUGUGUUGUGUGGCACCGCCAGGAAGAACUCGAGAGUUUGCAAGUACGUUUGACACAUAUUAGCGUGGUAAAGUCACCACUGCAAUACCUAACAAAGGAACGAGGCGGAUAAGGGUUCUAGUCAGUUGCAGCCACCUGGCUCAUACUCGCACCCUGCUGUACUUGAAACCUAUUUCCUCCUCGAGGGAAAAGUGUGGCCCGAAGCGUGUGCGCUUCGUUUUUCUCCAGAGCAAACGGUUGAGACUCGCUGUAAGUUGCACCGUGGGUCUCCUGACGUCACCGAAAUGUCCAAGCCUUCAACCCGUAGAACGUGUUCUGGGGUCAACAGGCACUCUGGCACUGUGCCUGCGAAUGUUUCUGCCUGCACAUCUUACAUAUUUCCUUCAGAGGUGGUAAUUCGGCAUCCAAUGGGAUUUAACGGGAAGCUGGGCCACUGCAGGGGUUAUUCAGAAAACUUAUUGUGUUGCUGUUUGUAUAAUCCAGAGUAAAGAAGAGUUUGUGAGUCGCGUGGAUACCGUCAACUCUGCCCAUCGUAUUAACACUACACUGUCAUAUUGCGGCACAAAUUCUGCAUUUCCGUCUUUUGUUGAUUGCCGAACUGUGUUUAAAAAGCAACCCGAUGUCAACCUGGGCCAGGGUUUGCACAGAUAAACAUCCGAUCACAUAUUAAGGAGAGAGCAUCCAGUGUAGUCUCCCCCGAUGAACAAGCGACAGCUAUUGGCAGACCACAAGCUGCUGAUCGCGUGCUGGUGGACGUUAAAAAUGAAGGCACCACUCCCUGUGUGAGCAAGUGGCUUUGUGUUGUCUGCCACUUUUAACGACUCUGCAGCAACAAAGAAUUCGACGUGCUAUCAGGGACGUAGCCGACGAUUUUAGCUACCCGAUUAACUCGGACAGCGACGAGGGCUGAAGCGGUCCGACGAUAACCGCAGUCGUUUGGUAGUGCGUCGACUCGUUCGGUGUUGUACAGCGAUUUCAGCUCCGGUGUCUUUCCUGAAAGUUUCCGUUUCUCUAUGGUGUUGGACACACACCAUAUGCUUUCUCGUACGCCACCGCCCUUGUGGGCUGUUCACUCAGUUUGCACAGAUUGCGAGGGCCCCGAUGUUGGUGUUUCGAAACAUGUGUGGGAGCCGUGAAAGCAAUUACUUCGAUUCUUGUGUGAGAGUUGUUUGCAGUGUUCCACGUUCCCUGCUUCCCGGGUUAGCUUAGCCUUGGCUAGUUGCCAACACACUGAGCAAUGUUCCAAAAAGUACGUCUUUUCAAGUACACCCUGGUUCGACAGUUUCAAAUGCGGCGAGACACAUUGAGUUUGAUGGGUCUUUGAGACUGAAUGGAUCUUUGAGUGGGUUGCUUAGUUUAGAGUAUGAAACCAAGUUCGGACGUGCCUUGCUGUUGCCGCUAUGCAAAUAACUUUUCCUCGAAGUCUGAAUAACCUCAGCUCCGCCGUUACUAUUGGAUCACUGUAGAACGAUCACGUUUGUACCUUCCGGAAAUGAUAAGCAGGUAUACGCCUGGUCUUCAAAGAGGUUCAAUUCCGUAAGGACCCGUUAUACUAAGUCCAUAGCAGCGAGUGUAUUUUCAUUCCAUAUAGUUUGAUUCUUGCUCCUCCGACUCAUAGCCAACCUGAGGCGCCAUACAGCGCCUGCUGGAUCGUCGCGAG
rnacentral:lncRNA from 1 species